rnacentral:misc_RNA from 1 species
GAUGAAGAACGUAGCGAAAUGCGAUAAGUAGUGUGAAUUGCAGAAUUCAGUGAAUCAUCGAAUCUUUGAACGCACAUUGCGCCCCUUGGUAUUCCAUGGGGCAUGCCUGUUCGAGCGUCAUUUGUACCUUCAAGCUCUGCUUGGUGUUGGGUGUUUGUCUCGCCUCUGCGUGUAGACUCGCCUCAAACAAUUGGCAGCCGGCGUAUUGAUUUCGGAGCGCAGUACAUCUCGCGCUUUGCACUCAUAACGACGACGUCCAAAAGUACAUUUUUACACUCUUGACCUCGGAUCAGGUAGGGAUACCCGCUGAACUUAAGCAUAUCAAUAAGCGGAGGA